rnacentral:tRNA from 1 species
UGGGGAAUGGUGUAACGGCAGCACCUACGACUCUGACUCGUAUAGUCUAGGUUCGAAUCCUAGUUCCCCAGCCA